rnacentral:rRNA from 1 species
UCGAUUAGAGUUUGAUCCUGGCUCAGGACGAACGCUGGCGGUAUGCCUAACACAUGCAAGUCGAACGAGACCUUUUCUAUUUUGAUAGUUCUAUUAAAAAAGAAAAGGUUGCAGUGGCGGACGGGUGAGGAACGCGUAAGAACUUACCUCUUGGUGGGGGAUAACAGUGGGAAACUGCUGCUAAAACCGCAUAAUGCUGAGGAGCUAAAAGUGAAAACUGCCAAGAGAGAGGCUUGCGUCUGAUUAGCUAGUUGGUGAGGGUAAUGGCCUCCCAAGGCGACGAUCAGUAGCUGGUCUGAGAGGAUGAUCAGCCACACUGGGACUGAGACACGGCCCAGACUCCUACGGGAGGCAGCAGUGGGGAAUUUUCCACAAUGGGCGAAAGCCUGAUGGAGCAAUACCGCGUGGAGGAAGAAGGAUCGUGGUCCGUAAACUCCUUUUCUUAAGGAAGAAACAAUGACGGUACUUAAGGAAUAAGCACCGGCUAACUCUGUGCCAGCAGCCGCGGUAAUACAGGGGGUGCAAGCGUUGUCCGGAAUGAUUGGGCGUAAAGCAUCUGUAGGUGGUUUUUAAAGUCGACUGUUAAAUCCCAGAGCUCAACUUUGGCAGGGCAGUCGAGCACUUAGAAACUUGAGUACGGUAGGGGUAGAGGGAAUUCUUAGUGGAGCGGUGAAAUGCACAGAGAUUAGGAAGAGCACCAGUGGCGAAAGCGCUCUACUGGGCCGUGACUGACACUGAGAGAUGAAAGUUGGGGGAGCGAANAGGAUUAGAUACCCUUGUAGUCCCAACUGUAAACGAUGGAUACUAAGUGCUG